rnacentral:rRNA from 1 species
AACCUCCGCAAUGUGAGAAAUCGCGACGGGGGGAUCCCAAGUGCCAUUCUUAACGGGAUGGCUUUUCAUUAGUGUAAAGAGCUUUUGGAAUAAGAGCUGGGCAAGACCGGUGCCAGCCGCCGCGGUAACACCGGCAGCUCUAGUGGUAACAAUUUUUAUUGGGCCUAAAGCGUCCGUAGCCGGUUUAAUAAGUCUCUGGUGAAAUCCUGUAGCUUAACUGUGGGAAUUGCUGGAGAUACUAUUAGACUUGAGACCGGGAGAGGUUAGAGGUACUCCCAGGGUAGAGGUGAAAUUCUGUAAUCCUGGGAGGACCGCCUGUUGCGAAGGCGUCUAACUGGAACGGUUCUGACGGUGAGGGACGAAAGUUAGGGGCGCAAACCGGGAUUAGAUACCCGGGUAGUCCUAACUGUAAACGAUGCGGACUUGGCGUUGGGGUGGCUUUGAGCUGCUCCAGUGCCGAAGGGAAGCUGUUAAGUCCGCCGCCUGGGAAGUACGGUCGCAAGACUGAAACUUAAAGGAAUU